rnacentral:pre_miRNA from 1 species
AAUACGAUUGCUGGAUCAUAUGGUGAGAGUGUGUUUAGUUUUGUAAGAAACUGCUAAACUAUUUUUCAAAGCAGCUGUACCAUUUUGGAUUCCCACCAGCAAU